CGAUAUGUUUCUUUUUUCAUCGUUUCUGGCAAACAAAAACAGCUGACCUGGCUGCUUUGUAAAAAUACAGCGUGAUUAAAAUGCCUUUUAUUUUUUCAAUUGCUUGUUUUGAAGCAAAACGAUUGCAGAAAUUACGUGAUCUAAGAAGAUCUAGACAUCUUAGAUGCAACACUUGUGUAUUUAUCAUGUCUGACGAACUAUUUGUGAAGUCAUUUCGGAUCGACAAAAAAAAAUUUAAAAAUGAUUUUGGAGAAAGUUCAACCCCAUUUAGGUGUUACCAGGAAGUUAUCUCCCUCUACGCAAUUGGCUUCAGUAAUGCGAUAUCUCGCCACUGGCUGCUACCAGUGGGCAGUUGCCAAAGACCACCAUAUAAACAUUGGACGCAGUACAUUUGGAAAGAUUCUUCACAAACUUAUUCCGUUGAUGGACAGGCUGUUAUGUGUUGAGUUCAUUUCGUUGCAGAUGAAUAAUCAUCAAUUGCAACAAUCAUAUGAAUAUUUCUAUCGAAACUUUAAAUUGCCUCGAAUUGGUGCCUGUGUGGAUGGAACUCACAUCAGAAUACUAAAGCCUGUACAAAACCACUCCGUGUUCUAUAAUAGGAAAGGAUUUUAUAGCAUGAAUGCCAUGGUGGUGUGUAACUACAACAUGGAGAUAAUUGCUAUUGAUGCCACGCACCCUGGUUCCUGCCAUGACUCCUUCAUUUGGAAUCACUCCCCUGCUAGGGAAUAUUUAUCCACGACCAUUAAUGGGUUUGUUUUGGCUGAUUCGGGCUACGCUCUAGAGAGUUUUGUUCUGACUCCUUAUAGGAGCGCGGAGAUAGCCACCUAUCAGCACAGAUUCAACAUAAAGCAUACUGGAGCACGAAAUAUUAUAGAACGCACCAUUGGAGUCCUUAAAAGCCGUUUCCGUUGCUUGCAACGCACUUUAAAUUACCCACCAAUAUUUUGUUGCCAAAUUAUAAAUGUAUGCUGUGCCCUGCACAAUAUUUGUAGAAGACGUAAUGUCUUAAUCGAGGAGGAUGUUCGAUUUGACGACCCUUUAGACACUGAAAAUGAAUUCGACGACACUGAAAAUAAUGGAUCAUCUAUACGCGAUGAAAUAGCUCAGGCCAUUCCUUAUUAAAAUGCAAAAUUUUUCAUGUUUUCUUCUUUAUGUCAUUCGAUAUUCUUUAUAACUAAUAAAGCUAAGUUUCACAAAAAAACUAAUAGGAAACUAAUUAUUUCGCAAAUUUGUCCAAAAUUUGGCUAAAUUUGUCUACAAGCGCCUUUUGGACCUCGAGCUUCUCCUUCUCUAAGGAUUCCAUUCGUUCGAAAUGUUCCGAAAUUUUCUUGGAAAUUGCCGACAUUUCAUCCAGCUGAGCAGCGCAGAGAUCGUUGAGGUCCAUGGUCUGCGCUGGUCUAGUUCGACGGCGCUUCGGCAUGGGCUCCUCCUUCUCUGAGGGUUCGUCCUUCUCUGAGGGUUCCUCCUCAAUGGGGUCUUCCAUCACGCACUUAACCCCAGUGUCGGCCUCCUUGGUCGUACGGGGGGGAAGUCCAUACGCUGGCCCACCUACUCCUUCCACCAUUUCGUAGAGGCCACAUAGCUUGGCCACUUCCUCCUCCAAUUCCCCAAGCGAUUGCUGAGCGAAGGGCCCUCCACCUGUAGCUCGAGUUUCUGAUUUGUUUUUCGCCAUCUUCUUGCGGAUGUUUGUUUUCCAAUCUGCCCAAACCUGAAAUUGUAGAAUUGAAUAUAUGUAGUAGUGUGCUACCUUUUGUUGUGCAACACAUACCUUUUUCCAACCCAAUGCGUCCUUGAUUGGCGGCCCAACAGCAUUGAGAGCGCCGCAAAGCUCUGCCCACUUGGCAUCGACAACAACUCGGUCGCCCUUCACAAAUCCUUUUGCCAAGUCCGGGUUGUCUUUCAUAAAACCCACCAGGAUUUCAUCUUAAAGAGGUGAUUUAUGCUUUCCCCUGGAUAUAAAGAACAAAGCGGUAAUUUUGAAAUAAAAAAUUAAUUUGCUGCACUUACAUUUUGAAGUCCGAAUUAAAUUGGGCGGGAAACAGCUGUGCUCACCCAGAUGUUCUGUUAAGCGCAUGUUACAAGCACAGUCUGAGCUGUUACAUGCACAUUUGUGCUGUUAUACGCAAAAAUUGAUUACUUGCCAACGUUCCGAUAACCAAAUCGGAAUGCGUCAGCUGCUUACACCAAAACGAAAUUUGUUGUUGCUGUGGCCAAUUUUGUCCGAACCAAAUUUGAGGGUUCGUUUUGUUGUAUAAAAAGCCGUUUACUUUUCAUUUCGUCAACGAAAAUGUUUUCGUUUUGAAAACGAAGAAAUCUUGCGGAAUGGGAAAAAGAGAGCCCCAAUUUAUGUGAUUUCAAAAGUAAAUCGGAAAACUUUUGUGAAAGUGAAAAACGG